GGAACGAGAAAAACCUUCAGCUUCUGCGUCAACAUACUGGAAAAGCAGCUGAAAAUAGGAAUAUAGCACCAGUUCAGAGCAAAUGUCAUCUCAAGGCAGAUGAUAAAACAGAGAGUUCUAAGCAUGUAGCUACAGUGGUAAGUAAGGACUCCAUAUUAACAAGAAAAACCUCUAGUAGAACCAUGCUCAGUAUAAGUGGCCAUCUGCUGUGAUUGGCUAGCUUUAGAGGGCAGAAAGUAAACAGAAAAAAAAAACACAGAAGCACCAGUCCAGGAGUAGUUUAUUUGGGAAAGAAUACAGCACACACCGUUAGUGACAUCACUAAUACCAUUAGUAGUUCCAUCUAAGAAACACAAUAAAACAAGAAAGCACUGAGCCAGUAGUAGUAUCAAUGGGAUAAGAAAAUUAA